rnacentral:lncRNA from 1 species
CAAUUAGUCUGUCCUAAUAAAUGAAUAUUAAACUUGUUAUUCAUGAGCUUUGAACUUAAAAUCUCUCACUUACAACUUGAAUAAAUAUAACAUUAAACUGUAAAAUUGGGUGACUUAUAAUAUCCUCUACUUAACUUUGGCAAAGAUAAUCUCUUCUCCAAAGUUCAGUAUUUUGUCUGUGCGCUUGCAUUUUCUAAUAGUUGGGUGUGUUUUGGAAUUGGGAUUUUAGUUUGUUUAUAUAAUCUUUGGCUCAAAUUGUGUGAUCAAUUUUCUUCCUUAAAAUUUUGGAAUCAGUUUAUUUCUCUUCGAAUAUGUAUUAUUUUUUUAUGCAACAUAGAUACAUUUUUAUUUCUUUAUGCAACAUAGAUACCUUUUGGUUUGUCGAUGAGGCAUUUUGAAUGCUUAUUAGCUAUUUACUAAAGGUGGUUUUAUAGGAACUGCUUAGGAAGAGAAGAAGUUUCAAUCCUACAGCAACGUGCGGGCACAAAUUUUUAGUUUUUUUUUUUUGGGGGGUGGGGGGGAUGGGGGUUUAAAUUAAGUCACAAUUAGUCUGUCUUAAAAUGAAUUUUGAACUUGUUAUUCAUAAAUAUUUGAACUUAAAAUAUCUUACUUACAAUUGAAAGAAAAAUAGCACUAUACCAUAAAAUUGAGUGACGUAUAAUAUCCUCCGCUUAACAAAGAUAAAUGGGACAUGUGAGAGUUAGGAACAGCAAAAUUGUGGUCCUGAAUCAAAUGCUGGCAACUUGGCAUAAAGAUUGA